CCUGGCUCAGAUUGAACGCUGGCGGCAGGCUUAACACAUGCAAGUCGAGCGGAGAGCGAUGAUAGCUUGCUAUCAGGCGUCGAGCGGCGGACGGGUGAGUAAUACUUAGGAAUCUACCUAGUAGUGGGGGAUAGCUCGGGGAAACUCGAAUUAAUACCGCAUACGACCUACGGGAGAAAGGGGGCAACUUGUUGCUCUCGCUAUUAGAUGAGCCUAAGUCGGAUUAGCUAGAUGGUGGGGUAAAGGCCUACCAUGGCGACGAUCUGUAGCUGGUCUGAGAGGAUGAUCAGCCACACCGGGACUGAGACACGGCCCGGACUCCUACGGGAGGCAGCAGUGGGGAAUAUUGGACAAUGGGGGCAACCCUGAUCCAGCCAUGCCGCGUGUGUGAAGAAGGCCUUUUGGUUGUAAAGCACUUUAAGCAGUGAAGAAGACUCCGUGGUUAAUACCCACGGACGAUGACAUUAGCUGCAGAAUAAGCACCGGCUAACUCUGUGCCAGCAGCCGCGGUAAUACAGAGGGUGCAAGCGUUAAUCGGAAUUACUGGGCGUAAAGCGAGCGUAGUGGCUUGAUAAGUCAGAUGUGAAAUCCCCGGGCUUUAACCUGGGAACUGGAUCUGAUACUGUUAGGCUAGAGUAGUGAAGAGGAAGGUCGAAUUCCGGUGUAGCGGUGAAUGCGGUAAGAUCU
rnacentral:rRNA from 1 species